GCAUCAGCACAGGGACUGUGCAGCUAUUCUGCUGGAACAUGGUGCCAACCACGACCACAGAGGUGUAAAUGGUAACACCGCCCUUCACUUUGCUGUCAGGGUUUCUAGCAAACCUCUAGUGGAGCUGUUACUGGAGUAUGGUGCAGAUAUUGAUGCUAAGAAUAAAGUAAGCUUGAACUUUGGGUAAAGCUGCUCUUCCCAUGUCAGCUUGCUCGACUUCUCUCUGUUAUUCUAAGAGAGAUGAUUUCUCCUUUCAGUGGGGAUACACUCCGCUUACUCUUGCAAUCACUGAAAACCGCGAAGAAAUGGUCAAGUUCCUUCUUCAAAAAGGAGCUGACGUGAAUGCUCAGGAUGAAGUUUUUAGGACCCCUCUUACAGUUGCUACUUUUUCUGGAAAUGAGAAAAUAAUACAACUACUUCUUCAACAUGGUGCUGUUCUUCCUGAGUCAGACAAGGAACUCAACCUAUGCCAACCUUUCACCAAAAUGGUUCAAGAUAAUGUUAUUGCUGAUGAAAAAAUUGGGAGCUCCUGCUAUGAGACAACUCCUGUCAUUCCCUUGGAAACAGCUGCAUCGGCAGAAUCAUGUGCAGAAUCAGUAGAAGGUGAAAAGGAAGACAGUGAUUCCUCCUGGGGUUCAAAGGUACUUUCUCUGAGGGAGGCAGUGGGGUCCCUCUGGCUCACCUGCAUCUGAACUCAUUUUGCUUUGAUGCUGCUUCUGCCACAGCCUCCUUACUUGGACCUUAACCAGUUGCUGCUUCAGAGAAUCUUUUCAGUUAGGACUGGGACAAGGUGAGGUCCAGCUAAAGUCUGGGCCCUCUUUGUGGCUGAUUGCCAAGCUGGAUUUCUAGGACAAAGAAGUAACUCCUCCUUCUGCUUACAGUCCUCUGAAGUCCUAGAAGACUGGCAUUGUGAGAAUGGCUUUUUUUCCAUCUCAUAUUUCUCUUCUGUGGGUCCAGCCAAUUUUAAAUGGUUGUGUAUGACCCACAAUUUAGGGAUUUAUUUCUUGUGCCUAGGUUCUCUCAAGCUCGGGAAGGGGGACUUUAUCUUGGUUUGAAAAAUCUGCUCAAG
rnacentral:lncRNA from 1 species